GGGCCGGUAGCUCAGCGGGAGAGCGGCUGCUUGAUACGCAGCGGGUCGGGGGUUCGACUCCCCCUCGGUAUU
rnacentral:tRNA from 1 species